rnacentral:tmRNA from 1 species
GGGGGCGAAUAGAAUCGAUUCGGACCUGUGAGCUGUGAGGGGCAUGCCGAGGUGGUCAGGAGGCCUCGUAAAACACCUGACAACAACACAAGUGCCAACUACAACCCUGUAGCAGAAGCGGAGUCCAUUCUCGCUUCUGAGGCACUUCAAGUCGCCGCCUAAGCAAUUAGGCAGCGCCGUCGCCCGGUCGGCCUGCGGACCGGGUGGGCGUUCGUCGCAGGCUGGCUCGCGCGGCGCCGCUGACGCGCGGGUGAGACGAAGGCGGCUCAGCCCUGGCGCGCCCGCUCCGCAGGCGGGUCAGGGCGAAGAGCUCGAUGCGGGGCUACGCAUGUAGAGGGCUCACGCUCUCGAUCCGAAGACGGGAGUGCAAUUCUCCCCGCCUCCACCA